CUAGGUGGCAAUUCUGAAGAGGUCACACCCGGUCCCAUUCCGAACCCGGAAGUUAAGCUCUUCGAGGCCGAUGAUACUGCUCCUGUACGGGGGUGGGAAAGUAGGAAGCUGCCUUGG
rnacentral:rRNA from 1 species